rnacentral:lncRNA from 1 species
GGCGGCAUUGUUUUCGGAUUAUCACCGUUAGCCGCCUCAUUUGGAUUGUCCACAAUGAAGUUCUCAUCAUCCAAUGGAUCUGCAAAUAGCAUCUCUAGAGUGAAGCCAUCAAAUACUGAGUCUAGAUUUGAAUCAUCUGGCACAAUACGUAUCAUAUUUAGAGCAUCGGAUGUUGUGCUAAUUGGAUCAUUUGGUGCAUGAGGUAUAGUACUCGGAUUAAAAAACUCAUUAGGCCCGAUAUUGGAUCAUU